UACAGGGGGGGCAAGCGUUGUUCGGAAUUACUGGGCGUAAAGGGUCUGUAGGUGGCCAACUAAGUCAAACGUGAAAUCCCUCAGCUUAACUGGGGAACUGCGUCUGAUACCGGAUGGCUCGAGUGUGGGAGAGGAAUGCGGAAUUCCAGGUGUAGCGGUGAAAUGCGUAGAUAUCUGGAGGAACACCGGUGGCGAAGGCGGCAUUCUGGACCACAACUGACACUGAGAGACGAAAGCCAGGGGAGCAAACGGG
rnacentral:rRNA from 1 species